rnacentral:rRNA from 1 species
GAGCGAACGUUAGCGGCGGGCUUAACACAUGCAAGUCGAGCGAGAAAGGGGCUUCGGCCCUGAGUACAGCGGCGGACGGGUGAAUAACACGUAGGUAACCUUCCUUUCAGCGGGGGACAACGGUCCGAAAGGACCGCUAAUACCGCAUACGUUCCCUGGGACCUCGGUCCUGGGGAGGAAAGGCCCGCAAGGGCCACUGGAUGAGGGGCCUGCGUAGCAUCAGCUAGUUGGUGGGGUAAUGGCCUACCAAGGCGAAGACGCUUAGCUGGUCUGAGAGGAUGAUCAGCCACACUGGGACUGAGACACGGCCCAGACUCCUACGGGAGGCAGCAGUGGGGAAUAUUGGACAAUGGGCGCAAGCCUGAUCCAGCCACGCCGCGUGAGUGAUGAAGGCCUGGUCGUAAGACUCUGUGGGGAGGGGACGGAACGGGACGGCCGACUGAAGAGUGGCGAGUUGACGGUACCGUCCUUAG